ACUUAAAUAGUUUAACUGAAAAUAUUGAUUUGUGGUGUCAAUGAUGUAUAAUUGUACUUUAGGUU
rnacentral:tRNA from 1 species